rnacentral:lncRNA from 1 species
CUUAAAGUUACAAGCUAAUUAAGACAGCAAUAUAGAAUAAGUAAGUUUUUAACGUAUUUAGGAAGGGGUGACUAGGCACUUCAUAGGUAAUAAUACUUUUUUUAACAUGGAUUCCUAAAUGGCACAUGCAAUGUCAAACCAUAGUGAUUCAUUGAAUUUUGUAUUCAUUGAUAAGUAAGGUCUGUGUAUGGAGCCUAAUUUCUGCUUUGAGGAUAUAUAUACUAACCUUGAGCCUGCAUGUUCUUAUACAUGGUAUGUCACGUGAUCAAUGAACAGAUUUUUAAAAAUAUACUAACUAGGAACCAAUGCAUUGCCGAGAGUGAAUUACAUCAUGGAAAAAUCAUGAAAAAAUAUAUAUUCCUUUUAUUAAUAUGUUAUAUUUAGUGAGAGACAGAGAGGAUAUCUUGGUCGUUAAAAAGCCUUCCAGAAUUUGGAUAUCCGAAUUAUAAGUUUAUCCCUGUUUGGGCUUCGAAGCUUUUUUGUUCAUUGCAAAUGGACACAUUGAUAAACAAUACACAUGAAAUGUAAAUCCUGAAAAAAAACUUUACUUCCCAAUGCAUGGUUAAAUGGCUAUGUUAUUAUGGUAGUCAUGUUUUGAUUAAGAAAUCUAUAACAUUAAUAAAUUGAACAAAAUAAUGAGAGAAAAAUAGUGUUAUGAAACUAUGUUUUUUUUAAAUCCUUUUUAUGUAACUCAUAUUUUAUGUUAGAAAAUAUUUGAUAACUAUAUAGUGUUCGCUGAAUGAACCAAAAGUUGUGUUUUACUGGAAAAAAAACUUUCGUGGCAUUGUAACAUAUUGCCAAAUGUUUUUGCUUGACAAGAUCUUUCGUAGCAGUGUAACAUAUUGUCAUUAAGAGACGACUUACUCAAUGAGAACUCACACAACCAUAGUGUUGUAUUUUAUUACAUGAACAUUUAUGUAAUUAAUGAAUAUCUCUGAAUGCUUUUUUUUCUCAACAUUAAAUUCCUGUACCGUUGAAAGUUGCUUGUACAGUGUGUGGACUAGUCGAACCUAUAUUAUCUGAACCAAAGUCUAGUAUGUUCACGUUGUACUUGCAUAACAUAACACCAUAAAAGAUCACGCAAUAUUUUCUAAACAAUUAGAUAAUUACAUGUAAUAUCUAGCAAUUAUGUUUCAUAAAAGACUUCAUUUUUUACAACAUACUUAUGUUUAAGUGCUGUAGUUGCACUUGGAGGGUUCUGCAAAUUUAUUUUAUUUUUUUUAUUUAUUUAUAUUUCAAUUGUUUUAUUUUAUUUAUUUUAUUUAUCUAUUUAUUGGCCCUUAUUUUUUCUGUUUUUAGCCAAACCGAUUGGCCCUUUGUGUCAUGUAGUUUGUUAAAACUACGAAAUGAUACAAAAUGUUGAACUUGGACACAUUUUGGGAAAUUCAACAUGUUCCGUUUCUUAAUUAUCGGUCACAUAGAUAUAUAAAAUAAAAUGGAUACCGAAAAUUAAGAUAUUGUCUAGCUUGUCUGUAUAUAAUUGGCCAAUCAUUGUGUACAAAACUAGUUCAAUUUUUAAGAAGUGUUCGUUAACAAACCGAUAAACUUCUUGUAAUAAAUAUAUAUAUAAUUAUAAUAUUUAUCAUUUGAUUAUAAUAGUAAUAAUUAUAAUAAAUAUAAAUUAAAAUUAUUAAUUUUGAUUUCCAAAUUUAUGCACACACAAAAAAUAUAUAAUUCAAUAUUAUCAUUUGGUUAUUACAAAUUGUGCUGAAUUUGUCUAAUUUUGUGCACAGCGAUUAGCAAAACGAGAAGUCUGAAUGUACAAAACUAAUUUAAUAGCUAUACAUGUAUUAUGAUCCUCAUUGCAUUGUUUUCAAAUAUUUCUUUACUCACAAACAUAAAAUCGAGCAUUUUUAAUAAUGAAUAAAUGCAAGAUUUGAUUCUAGAAGUUUUUUUAAGAAUAUAUUUAUUUCCUGUUCUAUUUCAAUUGUUCUGUUAAUUAAGACAUAUGAUUUAUCCUUUUGUGGAUUGUAUUUAGUAAUGUCACAAGUGUAAUGAGUAUGUUUUCUUAUAUCUAAUAUCAUUGUAUAUACCUUCGUUUCCAAUCCAUAAACUAUAGUCAGAAGUAUUUCUAAAAAAUAUUAUUAUAAUAAUUAUUAUCAUGUAAAUAUAAUAUAAUGAAUUGAAAAAAGAAGUUUAUAAUUAUGACAUAACAAAAUAUACAUUUAUUGACAUUUGGUUUGACUAGGCUUGGUAGGUCGGGUUUUAUUGUUUUCAAAUUAUUAAUAAACGCGAUCAACAUUUCGUAUCCCAACUACCUUUCUCUCUUACCAAAGUUUGCAUAGGAUGGUUAUUUGGCUCAAAAACCUAUCUGACCAAUUGUCCGACGAUUUCUUUUAUUGUUAUGGUGUUGUUAUUUAUUUUCUGUUCUUGUUUCAUAAAUUCCAAUAGGGAACAUAUAUUACAUUAUUGUAGUAAUCAACCAAUUUUCAAGACGUUUCGGCCAUUGGCCUUCUUCAGUUUUUUUAUUUUCUUUUGGAAAAUUGGUUUAUAACUACAAUAAUGUAUUUUCUAUUCGCCAUUUUUUCACAUUAAGAUAAUGAACGAAGGUAUACUAUAAUUGUAUUUUUAUAUUUUAAUAAUAUAAGAUACUUUGCACUUUCCUUCCAUUUUCAUCUUCAAUUUAGAAAAAAAAAUUUCGAAUACAUUUAUAUAAAACCAAGAAAAUAUAAUAUUUUAUGGACAAUAAAUGGUUCGUUUUUUGUUUCUGUUGACAUAUAACUUUUUAGAACAUCGGGUCUAAAAUCUAGUUAAAUGGCAGGCCACCUAAAUAACAUCCCAUUUUAGUUAAUUAAUCUACCGUAAUCGCUUUAAUGACCCACGUCCCUCAACCUCUGACCUUUUCCCCAGUAUGUCUCUGCUUCUUACUAAUAGUGUGCAUUCUUAUGCAAAAUAUAUGCAUAAUGCUACCAAUUAAUCUGUCAAAUCCUAUGAACUAGUCUUUUAUCAAUUGCAAAAUGUCGACUUUCUUACACAUAAGUUCGAAGAUCCAAAUUUAUCAUCUUGGAAACGUCUAUUUCCUUUAUGUUUUUUUCACGGAAAGUUGAAAAGAUGCAUUUGUCAUUUUCAAUUAUUCAUAAAAAGUAUAUGUGUAUAUGACAUUUUUGAUCAUGAUACAAAUUAAUGGAAACCUUCCCUAAGGACUCUGUAAUUUACGAUGCAAUGAACUUCAUCAAUGGCAAAUUGAACCGUAUUAGGGAGUCCGUGUUAUGGCAAUUUUACACAUUUGCCCGUAAUACUUUUCAUGUCGAAAGGCCUAAAUCACAUGUCUCUAUAUUAAAUCGAAUUUCAUCAGAAAAUUGCUAGGCUCUUAUCAAUCAAUUGGUAAAAAAUGAAGAUAAUAAUGUAUAGGAUGGUUGCCAAUGGGCUAUAAUGCAGUUCUAAUUUUGAUCAAUUGUAUGUCGCAUAUUUCUGUUUUGCUCUUCAAAAUGUAAUUAUAAGGCGAAAAUAUUCAUUUUGAGAGAAAGGACGGUAUCAUUUUAUUUUUAAUGUUAAUCAAUUCUGUUUUGACAGAUCCUAUAAAAGCUUUUGUGAUAUCUCGUUAGUUUUUCUAUCGUUUUAUAAUAAAAUUAAUAUUCUGGUUUAAAAGUGUCCUCUUCAGUUUUAUGAAAAUCUUUGAUUUCGAUGUUUAUAUGAGAAGAGAAACGUCAUAGUUUCUACUGUUCAUAUAUAUAAAUAGAGAGUUUAAGGAUGCGGAAAUAAAAAACUAGAAUAUAAAUGAAACUUAACCUGAUCAGCACAAUAAUGUCAUUAUGUACAUAUGAUAUUUCACGUACUAAAUUUAAUUAAUUAAAAUUUAUUUGCAUUUACAUUUAUAGUCUAGAUGUAGUACAUGUAUUAAAUGACAACAAUUGUUAGUAAGUGAAUUGAAUAUUAAUUCAAUUAAGACCCUCUGAUACCAAAAUGGUAAUAUUUUAUUUAACUUUUAAUUAAAUUUGUUCAAAUGUAAAAUCAAAUAUAUUUUAUAUUUAACUUCGGGGAAAUAUUUAGAAUCAGUUAAAAGGAUAAAACAACAUAACAAGUGAUUAUGCAUUACAAAUGAACUCGUAAAAAUGUUGCUGAAUUCAGUUUUAACGUUUAUUCGUCAAUGGAAAGGAGAAUAAAAAAAAGGCUAGACGUAACCACAAUCUGAAUACCAAAUGUAAAUGACCUGACAGUGUGCAUGAUUUUUGGUUAGCCUUCAUUCAUAUUUCAUUGAAACCGCUUCAGGCCAACUUCUGUUAUGUCACAAUUUGAGAUAUUUUACAAUGUUCAUUUCCCCUUUCCUACAAAUAAUGUUUCAUGUUUUCUCGUCACGUGGACAGAGGUUAAACAUCAACAUAAAAGGUUUUGCAUCCAUUUAUUGAUAUAACUAUCAAUAUAAUUUAUUGUUUAUAUACAUGCACUAUGUCAAUGCGUUCUCAUCAAAGAAGAUAUUUGAGGUUUUGGACGUUUAUUUGUUGAUAUUGUUUGACAUUAUUUGAUCCUAAUGUGUGACCCUAUUGUUUCGCUGUUUAAAAAAGUUAUGACGUGUAGGAAGGACUACGAUGUGCAAAAAAACAAAUAAUAACUUUUUGAAAAUUUGAAAAUUUAACUUUUAUGGCAUGAAUCCUGAAAAUAAAAAAAACUCUAUCAAUAUAUUGCGCGUCUGCUAUUCUGGAUUUACUUCAUUAGGCAGCACUCAAACCAAAGUAUGUGAAAGCGAGGCUGAAUAAAGACGUGAGAAACAUAAAAGAUCUAUACGACAAAAAGAAAGUAAAUUUAGAAAACUAUACUAUAGGUUAUCUAAAGUCUUGGGGCAAAAAAGUUUCACCUAUUGUAAAUUCCACUAUUAUUUCAUACAAAUAAACUCAUUAUAGAUACCAGGAUUGAAAUUUUGUAUUUGCGCCAGACGAGCGUUUCGUCUACAAAAGACGCACCAGUGACGCUCGGAUAAAAAAAGUCUAUAACAGCCAAAUAUAUAAGUUGAGGAGCAUUAAAUAUAUGUCAUAAAAACAUAUUUUUCAAAAUAUUAUCAGAAACUAUAAUUUAAAAUUUGUAAUGAUUGUUAUUAUAAACUCAUGAAUGUGUACAGUUUUGUAUGGUUAUUAUAACAAAAACGUUAAGACAUGUCAUUGCUAAGAAAUCAUUAUGUGUAUGCAAAUUUUGAAAUUUAGUGCUAUUAUUUCCUCGUGCAGAAUUUUAUAUUUGUCUUUGAACUAUAAUAUUGAUUUUCCAUGAAAAUGUAAAUCAUAAACAAUUUCAUAAUUAUUUCAAGAAACUGCAUCUACGAGUAGCAUUGGCUAAGGCUUUCAACUUAAAUGUUUUUAAUUUCUUCAACAAAAAUUCGGAACUCAAAAUCUCUACAAUAACAGCUUACAGUAUAUGUCCUAACAUUUAUAAUAUUUCGUGGAAAUACAGUUCUCUUGUGCAGUACUAUACUCAGUCAUCUUACGCUUUAAAUGUCAACAGUGUGUUUAUUAAUUGCAUGAGACAGAUUCAACCAAAGAUCGACGACAAAUGUAAAAGCAAAACUAUAUAUAUAUGGAAAAAAGUAGUCCAGAAUUGAGCCCCAGAAAUCUCAGUCAAAAGAAGGAUGGAAAAUAUGCAGUGUUUUACAGAACAUUAUACAUAAAUUAAAAAAUCAUUUAAAACCUCUCCAAAAACUGAGAUAAACUGGAUGUUAAGUAUAUAUAACCUGUUUAAUAUAUUACACCCUCUAUGUUAUCUACGUGUAUAUGAACGGGAUGAUUUGUCGUGAAUUUCAUUUUUUUAACAUGUGACACUAUGAUGGAACUUAAUAUUUAAUUAAUUAUUUAGUUAAUUAGUAAAUAAUAACUAUAUGCAGACAUUAAUUGUUUUUAAACAUCUCAUCACCAUUCAGGUAUUGUAGUAAAGGAUAUAUUACUCUCUCACUGCUUCAAUGACUUACUUUCCGCAUAAUAAUAAGCCACAAGAGGGAAACGCAUAAACCCUCAUCAGUGGUACCUGACGAUACUCAUCUCUAAUCUCAUCGGGAUCGCAUUGGCUUCUUUGUACUUAAUUUAGGCCGAUUAGAUCUGGUUUUUGAUAAGUUAUAAAAUAAUAUGUAGGUCUUUUUCAAUUUCAUGUCAUCUUGUAAUUAGCACUUUAUAACAGGAACUUACAUGAUCUACUAGUAAUUGACGCUGUGUUUCUAUUUCAUGUUACACACACAAAGCUGAAACUUGUUUUCAUGAACAGUUAUCGUAAAAAAAUGUUCAUGUUCCUUCUUCUAAAAUAUGAGUGCUUAACAUCGAAGUGGUAAAUGCCAAUAUACAAGUCUUUGGUUUGAUUAAUAUAAGUACGACUACAAAUACAAUUCAUGUAAACAAAAAGACAAUCAGCGUCAUAUUUGAACUUGCUUUAGAGACUAUUUACUAUAGGCAUCUAACUUCUUUGAUUCUUUCGUCAAUGUUUAAAGCGGAAAGAAUAGACCAGCGCUUGACUACUUGUUUUUGGCAUACUAUACAAAUAAUUAUGUGGCGGAGCUUGUAGAUACAGGGAUUGGUAUAUGGAAAUACAUGUAUACAACAACUCAGAAACAAAAUAAAUUGAAAUCUGAAUCUUGAUGAAAUGUAUGAGCUUUCUAUGCUAUCACCAGAGGCUUAACAAUCGAUGUAGCCUACCCUUUUGCUAUACCCAAUAUAUUUUUUUUUGUUAGCGUUGGAUCUUAAACAAAUGAUAACAACCAAUCAAAAACUAGGUUAUUACAACAAACAACCCACCAAAAAGACAUACGAACAUGUAAACAAAAGAUAAUAUGUCUUACGACAAUCACCUACUGAAUUUUAAUCAAACAACUUCUGCCACGAGUUGAUGCUUAAAUUACGUUGAUACGUUGUACCCCUAAAACAUGUUCUCUUCUGGAGAAAUCAUAGAAAUAGAUGUAUUCCGAAAGAUACUAUAACAAAAUAUGAUUCAGAAAAACAACACUUAAAAAUGUCUACAGAAGACAUUUUGGACAAUUAAACACUUUACAUACUAUAUUGCAUAUAACCAACGGUCUGUUAUAUUGGUAAUUCGUUAGUUGGUAUUUAUUGACUUGUUAGUUGUUUAAUGUUGAUGUUCUGCUGCCUUACUGACGAUUACCCAUCAACCCUAAAUGUUUGAUAUUCACAUGUAUCCUGCCACGCAUGUUCUUUACUGACAUCUUGCUUCAUAGUCACUGUGGUGUUACCCUUUUGUCUUUGGGAUUCCAUUGUGGGGAUACAUACAUAUCAAGUAUAUAAAAAUAAGAGGAUGCGGUAUGAUUGCCAAUGGGUUAGCCCUCCACUAGAUAUCAAAUGUAAGUCUCUUAUUGUACAGUUGGAAAAUACACAAGUAUUCAUUUUCACAUGGCUUACAUAGUUAGACUCAGUUUGAGGUUCAUAUAAUUUUAACCUUUGUAUAUUUGAUUCUGGGAUUCUGAGAAUGGGUGCAAGUUUUCUAAUUUUGAAUAACGUCAUAAUCUUCAGACGAAGUCUAGAUCAGUAUUACAAUCAAGAUAUGCAUCAACAGAUUUACUGCAAUGCGAUUUGUUGUGGUACUGUCUUUUUGUAUUGUAAUUUCUGCCAUACGAAUUGAUAAAAGCUGCAACAAUUACCGCAUUUUAUUAUUAUACGAAUAUUUAUAUCUGGGUAAUGACUCUUGUAUGGCAGAAGAAGGACUUGCAAAUUGCUUCGGACAUUCAGGACAUUAAAAUUAAUAUAACUCAAAGUGUACUUUGAAUAACUGUCACAUGCUAUAGGAGUCUUCCUAACCAUGUUUCUGUAUAUUGAGAUAUAUGCAUUUUUAAUGCAUAGCAUAUUAUCACAUAAGAAACACAAAUGAACUGUGAAGUUUCACGCAAUGUAUACUCAGUACAUGAUACCAAAAGGCUACUUUUCUACAAAAUAACACAACAGAAACGAACAAUAAGGAAUAGUGAAAACAAUAUUGAAUUACGUAAUACAUUAUGUAAAACAUGAUCAGCCAGGUGAGGAAGCAGUUCCAUUUUUGACGUUAUUUUUCGUCGAAAAUGGGCCGUAUCUCUCUCUUCUCGUAUUUAUUUGUAUUGUAGUCCUGUAUUAUUAUGUUGUCAUUUUAAUGUUAUAUUUAACAAUGCCAUCAAAGUGCGAGGUUUGGCAUGCCACAAUACCAGGUUCAACCCACCAUUUUUUCUUUAAAAAUGUCCUGUACCAAGUCAGGAAAAUGGCCAUUGUUAUACCACAGUUCGUUUCUGUGUGUGUAACAUUUUUACGUUGUGUUUCCGUUGUGUCGUUUGUUUUCUCCUAUAUUUGAGUGUGAAUUCACAUCACUAUAAGACGUGUCACGAUACUUUUCUAUCCCAAAUUCAUGUGUUUGGUUUUGAUGUUAUAUUGGUUAUUCUCAUCGGAUUUUGUUUAAUGCUUAGUCCGUUGCAGUGUGUGUUACAUUUUAAUGUUGUGUCGUUGUUCUCCUCUUAAUAUUUAAUGCGUUUUCCUCAGUUUUAGUUUGUUACCCCGAUUUUGUUUUUUGUCCAUAGAUUUAUGAGUUUUGAACAGCGGUAUACUACUGUUGCCUUUAUUUAUUCAGUAUUACAUAUUCCUUGCUUGAUGCAGACACAUACAUAUUAUGUCAGGGUUUUGAAUAUUUGUUAGCGUCGCCCCUCCCUUGAUCUGGGACAGUAGUGUACCAAGACAACACAGGUUAACUGAAAAAAAAAUGUUUGAAAAGGAUUUUUUCAUCCGAUCGGUACUUAGAACAAACACAAAUUUUAAAAAGGGUGAGAAAAACACAUUUUUACCAAACUUAGAGACUAUUCUUACUACUAGAAAUUAUUAUACCUCCUGACUUAAAUGUAAUUCACUGCAUAACUCCGACAGACUUAGUGUAAAACUCACACGAAAUCUAAGAAAAGCAAGGUAAUGUACAAGAACAAAAUAAAGGUAUCGACAUGAGGUAGGAUGAUAUGUGUUAUUCACUGGAUAGCAAUAUUAUACAUAUUUAGUUAUGCAUAAAAUUGAAGAUAAAAUCUAUGUAAGUAUAGCGAUACAAACUAUUUACAAAGAUUUUACAAUAAUGAACAAUAAGUUUAUAUGACCGUAUCUUCAUGAACGAUUUAUAAGCAACAUCACUGAAUUUAUGAGAAUGUGAUGUCACAUUGUCAUAAGCUUUCUACGAUUAUAAUUAUCUGAUCACCUUAUUUGCACUAACAUGAGCACGACGGGUGUCAAGGGCGGAUCCAGCCAUUUUAAAAAGGGGGGUCCCAACCCAGGACAAAGAGGGGUUCCAACUAUAUGUCCCAAUUCAAAUGCAUUGAUCGGCCACAAAAAGGGGGUUCUAACCCCCGGACCCCCCACCACCCGCCACCCCCUGGAUCCGCCAAUGGGUGCCACAUGUGUAGCAGGAUCUAUUUACCCUUCUGGAGCACUCCUCUUCCCGACUUUUGGCGCGGUGUGUGUGUUGCUCAGACUGUAAUUUUCAACGUUAUGUUUUGUAUUCUGUUCUUUGUCGUUGUGGUUUUGCCAUGGUGUUGUCAGUUUGUCUUCGACUAAUAAGUUUGAACAUAACUUUAGUAUCUUCCACCUCUUGUCUACAUGUACAGCCCAGACUUCCACCUCUUGUCUACAUGUACAGCCCAGACUUCCACCUCUUGUCUACAUGUACAGCCCAGACUUCCACCUCUUGUCUACGUGUACAGCCCAGACUUCCACCUCUUGUCUACAUGUACAGCCCAGACUUCCACCUCUUGUCUACAUGUACAGCCCAGACUUCCACCUCUUGUCUACUUGUACAGCCCAGACUUCCACUCUUGUCUACAUGUACAGACCCAGACUGUACAGCCAGACUUCCACCUCUUGUCUACGUGUACAGCCCAGACUUCCACCUCUUGUCUACAUGUACAGCCCAGACUUCCAACAACUCUUCGGAAAUAAGAGAAAAAAUAUUAGAAAUCCUAAACUUUAUAAUUUUGCAGUUGUGCCCAGGUUACGUAAACUGAAAUUAAAGAAUCUUCAAUAAAGAGACAUUGUAUGUCGAAAUGCGCAUAUUGCACAAUAACAGUGGUAGCGGUAGCGUUUAAUGUUAUUACUGUCAGUGGGUCAAUGUAUUUGCUAAUGGACUGUUUGUCUCAAUUAGUCACUAUUGAAAUUUGUUGUUAAAGCUUUGAUAAAACUCAAAAAUCAUUUUAAAUUUAGGAAUAUUUAUGCAUUAUGAAUAACUCUUGAUCAUUAGUUGGUCUUUUUGAAAGUCAUCUUUAACGGUUUAGAAUUUUUUUGAUCAACAUAAACUCCUUCAAGUAAGAUAUUUUGUGUUGUACACAAAACUAAGCUGAGAUGGGUAUAUAUUUUCAGAUUAUAUGCAAUCGAUAACACACUGUCAUCUUUUAAACGAGUAUAUAGACGAGGGUUUGUCGUUGCUUUUGUCUGACACAAUUGUGCUUCGUAUUUUGUUUUUAUAUAGGAAAAAAUACAUCAAAGAAGCUGGGUAUCCACAUAUGAAGGAUACGGUGACCGAUGUCUUAAAUCUUAUAUAAAAUAAAGUAAUAAUUUUGAAAUAAUCAAAAUUGUAAAAAUUUAGUUGUUAAUAUUUAGGUUAACAGUAAUGAACAAUCUGAAGUUUGUGUUGUAUUAUCUGUUUUCAUACAUGUACGUGUAUAGCUAUUACUUCUGAGAAGAAGUCGAGUUCGUAAAUGAUCAGUCAUUGUUAUUCGUAAAACUCAUAAAUUGUUAAGCUGAAAUAUAUAUUUUGUCGUUCCACUGAAAAUAAUGGUGCAAAAUUUGUCUCUUUGAAGUUAAGGUUUUACGAGUUACAUAAUGUUUUGUGAAGUGAUAUACAUGUCUACACUGUAUGCAAAUGCAGGGACCUUUGACCUAUUAAACGGUAAUUAAAUCAAUUCUGUUUAUUUAUUACGAACUAUGGAUUAUAUCACCAUUAAAUAAUUACAGGGCCAUGCUAGAACGAAAGAAAGGGAGUGUUAAGGUUAUACAUGCACGAAUAGACUAAAUGCUGCAGGAAACAAGACCAAAUAAGGUACAAGCUAAUACAAGAAUGCUCGCAGGAAACAAGACAAAAUAGGGGAUAAGCUAAUACAAGAAUGCUCACAGGAAACAAGACAAAAUAGGGGAUAAGCUAAUACAAGAGCGAAUAGAUAGAAUGCUCACAGGAAAAAAGACAAAAUAGGGGAUAAGCUAAUACAAGAAUGCUCGCAGGAAACAAGACAAAAUAGGGGACAAGCUAAUACAAGAAUGCUCACAGGAAACAAGACAAAAUAGGGGAUAAGCUAAUAUAAGAGCGAAUAGAUAGAAUGCUCGCAGGAAAAAGACAAAAUAGGGGAUAAGCUAAUACAAGAACGAAUAGACUUAACAAGACAAAUAUGGGAUACGCUAAUACAAGAACGAGUAGACCGAAUGCUGGAUGAAAGAAUACAAAUUAGGGGAUAUCAUACAAGAACGAAACGAUCGAAUGCUUGAGGAAACAAGACAAAGGUUAAACAAAAACAAAUAGACUGAAUGCUAUAGGGAACAAGACACAGAGGGGGAUACGGUCAGAAUACAUCAAGUAUACUUGUAGAAAAAUUGCGAAUAUAUACUAUGAAUCCCUGGCUGCUCACUGAGAGAAACUAAUGAU